rnacentral:rRNA from 1 species
UACGAACGCUGGCGGCGUGCUUAACACAUGCAAGUCAAACGGAAAGGCCCUGCUUUUGUGGGGUGCUCGAGUGGCGAACGGGUGAGUAACACGUGAGUAACCUGCCCUUGACUUUGGGAUAACUUCAGGGAACUGGGGCUAAUACCGGAUAGGAGCUCCUGCUGCAUGGUGGGGGUUGGAAAGUUUCGGCGGUUGGGGAUGGACUGCGCGGCUUAUCAGCUUGUUGGUGGGGUAGUGGCUUACCAAGGCUUUGACGGGUAGCCGGCCUGAGAGGGUGACCGGCCACAUUGGGACUGAGAUACGGCCCAGACUCCUACGGGAGGCAGCAGUGGGGAAUAUUGCACAAUGGGCGGAAGCCUGAUGCAGCAACGCCGCGUGCGGGAUGACGGCCUUCGGGUUGUAAACCGCUUUCGCCUGUGACGAAGCGUGAGUGACGGUAAUGGGUAAAGAAGCACCGGCUAACUACGUGCCAGCCGCCGCCGUAACAC